AUUGAACGCUGGCGGCAUGCUUUACACAUGCAAGUCGAACGGCAGCGCGGGCUUCGGCCUGGCGGCGAGUGGCGAACGGGUGAGUAAUGCAUCGGAACGUGCCCAGUAGUGGGGGAUAGCCCGGCGAAAGCCGGAUUAAUACCGCAUACGACCUGAGGGUGAAAGCGGGGGACCGACAGGCCUCGCGCUAUUGGAGCGGCCGAUGUCGGAUUAGCUAGUUGGUGGGGUAAAGGCUUACCAAGGCGACGAUCCGUAGCUGGUCUGAGAGGACGACCAGCCACACUGGAACUGAGACACGGCCCAGACUCCUACGGGAGGCAGCAGUGGGGAAUUUUGGACAAUGGGGGCAACCCUGAUCCAGCCAUGCCGCGUGCGGGAAGAAGGCCUUCGGGUUGUAAACCGCUUUUGUUCGGGAAGAAAUCCUCUGGGCUAAUACCCCGGGGGGAUGACGGUACCGGAAGAAUAAGCACCGGCUAACUACGUG
rnacentral:rRNA from 1 species